CGUGUAGGCGGAUGCGUAAGUCCGGUGUAAAAGCCCCCGGCUCAACCGGGGAAAGCCAUCGGAUACUGCGUGUCUAGAGUGCGGGAGGGGAGAGUGGAACUCUUGGUGGAGCGGUGAAAUGCGUAGAUAUCAAGAGGAACGCCGGUGGCGAAAGCGGCUCUCUGGCCCGUGACUGACGCUGAGGCGCGAAAGCUAGGGGAGCAAACGGGAUUAGAUACCCCGGUAGUCCUAGCCCUAAACGAUGGGUACUAAGUAGGGGCGACUCCGAUGUUGUCUCUGCUGUAGCCAACGUGCUAAGUACCCCGCCUGGGGAGUACGGUCGCAAGGCUGAA
rnacentral:rRNA from 1 species